UACCCGACCCUCCGGGGAAGAGGCCAGUGUCGACAUACUCGCGACCAUCGCAAGUUCAGUAUAAGUUGGAAUCACCGACUUCUCAGUGUUUCCGGACACGUCUGAACCACGUCUCACUCUCCCACCAGUCACGCCACCGGAAGCUGCUCAUCGCCGGAGUCGAGUCCGCUCGCUGUCUUCCGAGAGCCGGAGCAGAUCCCUUAUCACUACCAGCUCUGGAGGGCAUCCAUCAAUCACUGCCAGUGAGCUGCUAAACCCUCCCCACCCACACACACACACACACACACACACUCACUCGUCUUUAGUUUUGACAAGUUGAUUUAGAUCAACUGACGAAACUGUAGAUCAUUUAAUCAGUUAAUAACUUAUUAUUUUGUCACCACAAGUGAAGGCCGCCCCCUUCUCGUCCGUCGACUAAAUUGACCAUCAUUGUGAUCUCUGCUAUAUGAAGUUUAGUUUAAAUUGGUUUUGAGAUUGUAUUUCCUCUAUUGGAUGACAAUCCUUGUAUCUUCUGACUUUCAAAUUUCCAGUCCAAGGCGGUUAAGUUUAGGGCGCGGAGUACGCAAAGGGUUAGGAUGAUCUCUUGGCAGACACGGUUAAGACGCAGGUUGUGGAAGAUAAACACGGAUUCCGUGGCCGAGCAUCCCUUUAAACCAGAUUGGAGUAAAAAGAAUCACUGGGAUUAAAUUCUGUAAAGGAUGAGAAAUAAAAGCCUAAAUUGGUCUGACUUAAAUACAACAAAUAGACAACAAAAAAAGCUAUGAAAUAAUUUCAUCCAAGGGUUUGGCAAUAAUAAAAGUUUUGUACCAAGGUAAUAAAAGAAAUUUUGCGGAAUUCCAUUUUUUUAAUCAAUUGAAAUAAUGCAGUGUACUGGAUUAUACACCUUUCCUUUUUUCUUUACUUUUGUCAUGAGAAGUUUAACAACAUUUUCGAGCCCCCUCAUGGAUUUCCUGU
rnacentral:lncRNA from 1 species